CCCUUAGACACUCUAGGCGGCACGCGCGCUACAAUGGGUGGAAGACUGUGUUACUGCCCUCGAAAGAGGGGGUGAAUCACGAAUUCUCACCCGUGAAUGGGAUAGUUUGUUGCAAUUUUCGGACUUGAACUAGGAAUCCCUUGUAAGCAUGCUCAAGAAUAGUGUGCUGAAUACGUCCCUGCCGUUUGUACACACCGCCCGUCGUUUCUUCCGACUGAGUGAUCCGGUGAAUAAUUCGGACUGCAGCAGUGUUCAGUUCCUGAACGUUGCAGCGGAAAGUUUAGUGAACCUUAUCACUUAGAGGAAGGAGAAGUCGUAACA
rnacentral:rRNA from 1 species